GCUAACACCUGAGCAAACAAACAGGCACUGUUAAAUCUAUUUUCUCUGUCACAACAAAAAUUUUUUAAAUAGCAAAACAGAAGAAAUGUUCUCUUAACUGAAGGUCAGAGCCAUGGUGUCUUCAAAAUGAAAUCUGGUUUACUGACAGAAGAAAAUGGGCCAGGAAUGGGGACGGUGUUUAUAAGAAAGCCUCAAAAAAAUCAAAGGAAUGGCUCUGGAGUGUUUUAAAAACCUGGAAAGCUCUGGAGGCUUUGGGAAAGACCCUGAGAGUGACAGAAUAUCAGGACCCCAAAGACCACUUUUCCAUUGUAAGAAGCCCUGAGUCUUCCAGGCUGCAGACUUUCUUCAUGAGAAAUAGAGGACCCGAACCAUGUCUGCUACGAUGUCCCAGUUACACAGUCCGAGCUGGGAGAGGAGACUGGCAUUGCCCUGAAGUUCUCAGGACCUUCAACUCCCCAAAGUGGCUGAUCUCGAGAGAGGGAGCAGGUCAACCAGCUCUCCUUAGGAUCAGAGCUGGGUGGGAUUGAGUUCCCCAGGACUGUUACCAAAGAUGGCCGAAAAACACAAGCAUAAAUCACGGUGGGCUUGGACCCUUCACGGAGCACACUGCUCUCUGUUCGCUCUUCCGGAGGGGAAACCUUCUGUCUGUGCUCCUGCCUCAGUUCACAGAUACGGAGACAUCCACAAACAUCUUUGGCCUCCUCCGUCACAAAUGCCUUCCCUUUAUCACUUCUUCUGUCCUGCUACGCUUCCUCCACCACAUCCCCUUUCCCCAUUUCUCUCUUGGGCUGCCUGCAUUUGACUCCAACCAUCGGGAGGCUCUCGGCGCCCCUCCAUUUCCUGGCCCAUCUGCUGCGCACAGGUGGACUUAGAGUCUGCCGGCCUCACCGGCUGUCCUGCCUGUUGGUGAGUACUUGGGACCAGACCUAUCAUCUUCCACGCAGGGGGAGGGGCAUGUAAGUGCACCCCAGUCUCUUCUCUGGACCCCAGACUCCUCGAAAGAAGCCCUGGGUGUGAAUUUGCAUCGCAGGAGUAGCACACUCCCCUCUGGCUUUGGGUCCCCGGCAAGUUCUCUAGUUUUACAAGAGAGUCUUGAGCUUUGGCAUUUC